rnacentral:lncRNA from 1 species
GAGAAAACACCUGUAACUUCCUGCAUGAGUUCCUGUGGCUCUGGUCUGUGUGUGAUGUUGUGUAGGUGCCCUCCACUGGUUGAGCUGCCUUACUGAUUCCACGCUGCCUGCUGGGCCAGAGAGAUGAUGGGACAUACCAUGAAUUUGUAUGCUAUUCAUCCAAUUUUUUGGUAUAAUCAGUCAACAGCAAACGCGCAGAAGAUAUUCCUCAUCAUUUCUGCACUUUGAUAAGUGAAGACACUGCAGAUCUGAUCUGAAUAUAAAUUAUGAAUCAAAAAUGUGUCAGUACUCACUCGUGGUUUGAUUGGUGGGAGCAGGUUGAAUGGCAGGGGCUGGGGUUAGAAGUCCUGCCCCUUACCAAGAUGGGGGGCUGCAAGGGUAUAAAAAGUAUUUUGCUGGCCAGUCUAGCAUAAGGAAGUCAAACGCACGUUUGCUGGUUGCUUUACGUCUGCUGCACAGUUUCCCACAUAGACCUGUGCUAAAGAUGCUGUCACGAAAUCUUGUAAUUGCUUCAGUGGCUGUAGUGUUUCUGGCGUCCACCGUAUCAACGGCUCCUGUUGAAGAUAAGGAGCCUGAGGAAAAUGACUUUGAGGCUGAAGAGGGUGAAGAAGAACUGUCUGAGGAGGAAGAGGGUAGGGGAUGAAGUUCUUUUAGAUGUUACUUCAUCAACAUCCUGAUGAGAGCCGACCGUACCACACCAAGGAGCUCAUAUUGUAGACACUUUGACACUAGAUGUGAUCCUGCAAAAGGACAAGAUGAGAAGUUAAUUCUAUAAUGUUCGUGAUAAACAGUUCUAAAGUAAACCUGAAUUUAUUUUUAAUCCGUUCAGAUUCAUAAACCCAUCAAAGUGGGUAAAUGCAGUCUCAAAGAGAAAAUAAAAGAGCAUUUAACUUAAAACAGAUCAGUGAAUUCUAAACUCUGUGGACUCGGACAGAAAGAGGAGAAGGGCUAAACAAAGGAGCGGUUGUUAUAAACUGUAUCGAUUUUCCCUUUUCUUUACAGAUGAUGAUGACUCCAAAGGUCAGCAUAUGAAGGGUGGGUGACAAGUUCACAACUAACCACCAUUGUGCAAAACCUCAGUCAUCUUUAAUAAUCACAUAAUAAGUCAUAAUUUACUUCAAAAGUCAGUUUUUCUUAAUGAGGCUGAGCUAUUCAAAACAUUUGGGGUUCUGCCAUAAUCAGAAAUUGCACUUACAAAAAAAGUACUGUAGUACUUUUUGUUGGUAUUCAAUGAUUUUUGGACAUGGGAUCAAUGAUAAUACUUUGUUUUUCUAAGCUUGAUUAUUAAGAUUUUAAAGUAUAGUAACCAUACAGAAAACCUAGUACAGUGGUGGUAAUCUUAUCAAACUUCGGUAUACCAUGAUAUAGUAUUUGCAACAUUCCUACAUGGAUUUAAGUACCAUAAUAUAUUUUAAAAUACCAUAGCAUUGCCAUCUGAUACAACCAUAGUACCAGUGUUAAAGACUAAAUACUCAUGAUACAUUUAGUUCUAAUGGGGUAGCGACAUUGCAAAAACUAAACUCAAAUCAGAUCUAAAAUGCACAUAAAAGCCAAUAAAAACAACUUAAAAUGUAUAUAGCUGGUUUAUACAAGAUGCAAAACCCCUUAAGCACGUGUAAAAAGAGUGUCUGUCUUUUAUGAAGCCUCCUGGCCAGAAUAGUUUGAUUGGCCUGUGAGAAAUGAUCUCUGGGAAUCUGUGUAAGAAUAUGUUUCUUGUUCCUCUCCCUCUUUUCCUAAAGGAGCCGGAUCGCAUCAGGCCACUGCAGCACCCAAAGGCUUGGGUAAGGUGAAGCUAAUCCUCUUUAGAGCUGGAGGCAGAGAACACUGAACCUCUCAGCACUGGAAAAUAGUUCACUGGGUGCACCCUACUCAGUAAGCAGAGUCAAUCAGUACUUAAUCUGGUUUAGGGAUCAGGUAUGUGGCUGAACGACAUUGCUCGAUUUAUUAAUAAAUGUGGAAAGACGAAACAUCAGGUGCACAGAUCCGUGGAAAACAGAGGCCUGUAGCGCAGUGAGAUUGCAUGAUUGUUGGGCCGAUGUUUCAGGACCUUAUGCACUUUAGACUGAAGGGCUGUUUUUCUCCAAGGUAUGACUCCUGGCAGCGCCAUCGCGGGCCAAUCCCCAAACGGUAAGGAAAGUCUACUCGAUAACGCAAAAACAAGUUCUUUUCGGAGUGCAUUAGCCUCUCAUGACCUCUGGUGAAAGGUGAAUUUGUUGAGAGCUCAAUGGCCUUUCUGAAGUCCAAUACAUCUUUUGACAAAACCUUUGCUCUCGUUUCCCAGGUCAGAAACUUAAUGGCGGCACUCAAACUGGCCAAGUCUGUAAGUGUGAACCUGAUCUAUCAGGGGAAAAACUUUCACAGAAGCCACACUUUAGAAAAGCAACACAGACUGACCUUAUGUAGGAAAUGCACUACAGAGUUAUAUACGCACGGUCAUAGCCAAACAUCAUGAGGUCAAAUCUAGAUAUAUUUUCUCUUUCUUGGCCAAUCAGAAACUUAACUGGUGUUUUUGUCAUUACAGCAUCAGGCAGCACAUCAACAGCUUCAAAUGGAGCAAACGGUAACCAGCAUUUCAGUCAGAAUAUGAUAUAACCUACUAUUGUAAAAAAAAAAUAUAUAUAUAUAUAUAUAUAUAUAUAUAUUACCUAAUAUUACCUAAUUUGAUGAUACGGAGUUAAAAAUAAAAAUAUUUUUUCACAAAUGUAUGUAUUUAUCUGCCUUAAUGCACUUAUGAAACAACAAAAGCAGCCAAAUGUCAAAGGUUUUCACAAAAACACAAGUAUUCAAAAUUUAUAAUUUAACUCAUAAUAUGCAAAGAAUUAGAAAAACAUAUGUUCAAAAUAAAUUUAUAAAUAUACAUUUUCCACAAAAUCUGUCAUUUUCUGUUGCUGUUUGCAUGUAGGAAAAUGUUUGAAGCUCUAGAUCAUGUUUUCAUUUUCUUCUGUUGCUGACCUUGAAAUUAGGCAUAAAUAAUGUUCGUACAUGUGAAAAGUGGCUGAGAAUUUAACAAAUAGUUGUACUGGGCUCAGAGAAAGAUAGUAAUCUUGUCUUUAUGGCAGUUUUUUACAAUGAUUAAGGGAUAUAACAAGACUUCCUAACCUUACAAAUUGUUGUAGAAUGCAAAAAUGCUACAAAAUGCACAUUGUAUUUAGUGUGAAAAUGACGUGCUAGUGCCUAAUAGGCACUAUUUUUCGAAUCUGCAUCCAUAAUAAUAAAAAAUAAAAUAAAAAAAACAGGGUGGUUCAUGGUGGUGAAUCAUUAGUUUUGCUGUUAAUGAAACCACUAACUGCGUGUCAUGUCAUUGGAUUAUUGGAGCAGUAUCAGUAUUGACAUCUAUCUUUCAUUACUGGACAAGGGAUGUUCUCUCAGAAAUGUUUCUUUGUGGGUUACAGGAAGUAAUGGAAGAGACGGGUUAUCUCGCCCAUCUGGCUCUAGUUCUCAUGGUACUGGACCUGUUCACCUGCUGUAUAUGGUUUUCUUUUUGCCCUAACAAGUUGACUGCCUAAUCACUGUAUUCAUUUUACUUACAGAUGCAAGUUAUGGUGGACAAGAUGGGUCCAAAUCAGACAUAGUUCCUCCAGGUACCUGAUCACUGAUUCUGACAUAAAUAAAAUAAAAUAAAAGUUGCACAUUUAUAUGUCACUUUUAUAUUUACCUUAAAAUACUAAAAUGUUUAAUACAACCAUUAAUUUUUAUAUAAAUAAUAUAAUAUACAGGUGCUGGUCAUAUAAUUAGAAUAUCAUCAAAAAGUAGAUUUAUUUCACUAAUUCCAUUCAAAAAGUGAAACUUGUAUAUUAUAUUCAUUCAUUACACACAGACUGAUAUAUUUAAAAAAAAAUUCAUAAUUAAAACUGACAACUAAGUAAAAUAAAAAAUUCAGUAACUCAGAAAAUUUGAAUAUUGUGAAAAGGUUCAAUAUUGAAGACACCUGGUGACAAACUCUAAUCAGCUAAUUAACUCAAA